UACGGAGGGGGCUAGCGUUGUUCGGAAUUACUGGGCGUAAAGCGCACGUAGGCGGCUUUGUAAGUUAGAGGUGAAAGCCCGGGGCUCAACCCCGGAAUUGCCUUUAAGACUGCAUCGCUUGAAUCCGGGAGAGGUGAGUGGAAUUCCGAGUGUAGAGGUGAAAUUCGUAGAUAUUCGGAAGAACACCAGUGGCGAAGGCGGCUCACUGGACCGGUAUUGACGCU
rnacentral:rRNA from 1 species